GAUGAACGCUGACAGAAUGCUUAACACAUGCAAGUCAACUUGAACUUCGGUUUGGGUGGCGGACGGGUGAGUAACGCGUAAAGAACUUGCCUCACAGCUAGGGACAACAUUUGGAAACGAAUGCUAAUACCUGAUAUUAUGAUUAUAUGGCAUCGUAUAAUUAUGAAAGCUAUAUGCGCUGUGAGAGAGCUUUGCGUCCCAUUAGCUAGUUGGAGAGGUAACAGCUCACCAAGGCGAUGAUGGGUAGCCGGCCUGAGAGGGUGAUCGGCCACAAGGGGACUGAGACACGGCCCUUACUCCUACGGGAGGCAGCAGUGGGGAAUACUGGACAAUGGACCGAGAGUCUGAUCCAGCAAUUCUGUGUGCACGAUGAAGUUUUUCGGAAUGUAAAGUGCUUUCAGUUGGGAAGAAAAAAAUGACGGUACCAACAGAAGAAGUGACGGCUAAAUACGUG
rnacentral:rRNA from 1 species